rnacentral:rRNA from 1 species
AGUGCUUGCCUAAAUGAAACUAGAUACAAGCGAGCGGCGGACGGGUGAGUAACACGUGGGUAACCUGCCCAAGAGACUGGGAUAACACCUGGAAACAGAUGCUAAUACCGGAUAACAACACUAGACGCAUGUCUAGAGUUUGAAAGAUGGUUCUGCUAUCACUCUUGGAUGGACCUGCGGUGCAUUAGCUAGUUGGUAAGGUAACGGCUUACCAAGGCAAUGAUGCAUAGCCGAGUUGAGAGACUGAUCGGCCACAUUGGGACUGAGACACGGCCCAAACUCCUACGGGAGGCAGCAGUAGGGAAUCUUCCACAAUGGACGAAAGUCUGAUGGAGCAACGCCGCGUGAGUGAAGAAGGGUUUCGGCUCGUAAAGCUCUGUUGGUAGUGAAGAAAGAUAGAGGUAGUAACUGGCCUUUAUUUGACGGUAAUUACUUAGAAAGUCACGGCUAACUACGUGCCAGCAGCCGCGGUAAUACGUAGGUGGCAAGCGUUGUCCGGAUUUAUUGGGCGUAAAGCGAGUGCAGGCGGUUCAAUAAGUCUGAUGUGAAAGCCUUCGGCUCAACCGGAGAAUUGCAUCAGAAACUGUUGAACUUGAGUGCAGAAGAGGAGAGUGGAACUCCAUGUGUAGCGGUGGAAUGCGUAGAUAUAUGGAAGAACACCAGUGGCGAAGGCGGCUCUCUGGUCUGCAACUGACGCUGAGGCUCGAAAGCAUGGGUAGCGAACAGGAUUAGAUACCCUGGUAGUCCAUGCCGUAAACGAUGAGUGCUAAGUGUUGGGAGGUUUCCGCCUCUCAGUGCUGCAGCUACGCAUUAAGCACUCCGCCUGGGGAGU